AAUAGAUACCCAGGUAGUCCAUGCCGUAAACGUUGGGAACUAGAUGUAGGGCCUGUUCCACGGGUUCUGUGUCGUAGCUAACGCAUUAAGUUCCCCGCCUGGGGAGUACGGCCGCAAGGCUAAAACUCAAAGGAAUUGACGGGGGCCCGCACAAGCGGCGGAGCAUGCGGAUUAAUUCGAUGCAACGCGAAGAACCUUACCAAGGCUUGACAUAUAGAAGAACACUGCAGAGAUGCAGGACUCUUUGGACACUUCUAUACAGGUGGUGCAUGGUUGUCGUCAGCUCGUGUCGUGAGAUGUUCGGUUAAGUCCGGCAACGAGCGCAACCCUCGUCCUAUGUUGCCAGCACGUGAUGGUGGGAACUCAUGGGAUACUGCCGUGGUCAACACGGAGGAAGGUGGGGAUGACGUCAAAUUAUCAUGCCCCUUAUGUCUUGGGCUUCACGCAUGCUACAAUGGCCGGUACAAAGGGCUGCGAUACCGUAAGGUGGAGCGAAUCCCAAAAAGCCGGUCUCAGUUCGGAUUGGGGU
rnacentral:rRNA from 1 species